ensembl:lncRNA
UCAACAACAAAACCAUCUAUUUCACUGUGACCUGUUUCUGACUAUUAGGCAGGCUGUUGUUGACUAUCAGGCUGUUGCUGACUAUCAGGCAGUGUGGCAGGCUGUUGUUAACUAUCAGGCAGUGUGGCAGGCUGUUGUUAACUAUCAGGCUGUUGUUAACUAUCAGGCAGUGUGGCAGGCUGUUGUUAACUAUCAGGCUGUUGUUGACUAUCAGGCUGUUGCUGACUAUCAGGCUGUUGUUAACUAUCAGGCUGUUGCUGAAUAUCAGGCAAUGUGGC